UCAGUUCCUAACUAGGUCAGAGGAGCCA
rnacentral:piRNA from 1 species